rnacentral:rRNA from 1 species
AUACAUGCAAGUCGAACGAGUUCUCGUUGAUGAUCGGUGCUUGCACCGAGAUUCAACAUGGAACGAGUGGCGGACGGGUGAGUAACACGUGGGUAACCUGCCCUUAAGUGGGGGAUAACAUUUGGAAACAGAUGCUAAUACCGCAUAGAUCCAAGAACCGCAUGGUUCUUGGCUGAAAGAUGGCGUAAGCUAUCGCUUUUGGAUGGACCCGCGGCGUAUUAGCUAGUUGGUGAGGUAAUGGCUCACCAAGGCGAUGAUACGUAGCCGAACUGAGAGGUUGAUCGGCCACAUUGGGACUGAGACACGGCCCAAACUCCUACGGGAGGCAGCAGUAGGGAAUCUUCCACAAUGGACGCAAGUCUGAUGGAGCAACGCCGCGUGAGUGAAGAAGGCUUUCGGGUCGUAAAACUCUGUUGUUGGAGAAGAAUGGUCGGCAGAGUAACUGUUGUCGGCGUGACGGUAUCCAACCAGAAAGCCACGGCUAACUACGUGCCAGCAGCCGCGGUAAUACGUAGGUGGCAAGCGUUAUCCGGAUUUAUUGGGCGUAAAGCGAGCGCAGGCGGUUUUUUAAGUCUGAUGUGAAAGCCCUCGGCUUAACCGAGGAAGCGCAUCGGAAACUGGGAAACUUGAGUGCAGAAGAGGACAGUGGAACUCCAUGUGUAGCGGUGAAAUGCGUAGAUAUAUGGAAGAACACCAGUGGCGAAGGCGGCUGUCUGGUCUGUAACUGACGCUGAGGCU